GUGACCUCAAAUCAGGUAGGACUACCCGCUGAACUUAAGCAUAUCAAUAAGCGGAGGAAAAGAAACUAACAAGGAUUCCCCUAGUAACUGCGAGUGAAGCGGGAAAAGCUCAAAUUUAAAAUCUGGCGGUCUUUUGGCUGUCCGAGUUGUAAUCUAGAGAAGUGUUAUCCGCGCUG
rnacentral:rRNA from 1 species